rnacentral:rRNA from 1 species
GUGGGGAAUAUUGGACAAUGGGCGAAAGCCUGAUCCAGCCAUGCCGCGUGUGUGAAGAAGGUCUUCGGAUUGUAAAGCACUUUAAGUUGGGAGGAAGGGCAGUAAGUUAAUACCUUGCUGUUUUGACGUUACCGACAGAAUAAGCACCGGCUAACUUCGUGCCAGCAGCCGCGGUAAUACGAAGGGUGCAAGCGUUAAUCGGAAUUACUGGGCGUAAAGCGCGCGUAGGUGGUUUUGUAAGUUGGAGGUGAAAUCCCCGGUCUCAACCUGGGAACUGCCUCCAAAACUGCAUGACUAGAGUACGGUAGAGGGUAGUGGAAUUUCCUGUGUAGCGGUGAAAUGCGUAGAUAUAGGAAGGAACACCAGUGGCGAAGGCGACUACCUGGACUGAUACUGACACUGAGGUGCGAAAGCGUGGGGAGCAAACAGGAUUAGAUACCCUAGUAGUCC